rnacentral:misc_RNA from 1 species
AAACCUCAAACCCCAUAAAAUACUAGUUGAUUUUUUUCCAAAAAAUGGAAAUUUCUUUCCAAAAAAAUGUAAUCUCAUAUUUCCUUGUUUGCUUGCUAUGUUUCACCCAAUUUUCUUCAAUUUCUUGUGAGAAAAAAGUUUCUUUGACUUUGUAUUAUGAAAGUCUCUGUCCUUACUGUUCCAAUUUCAUUGUUAAUUACUUACCUAAGAUUUUCAAGAAUGGGAUGAUUGAUAUUGUUGAUUUUAAGCUUGUUCCAUGGGGAAAUACUAAGCUUCAACCAGACAAUACCUUCAAAUGCCAGCAUGGAAAAGAUGAAUGCAUUUUGGAUACUGUAGAGGCGUGUGCAAUUGAUGCAUGGCCAGAUUUGAGUGAACACUUCCCUUUCAUUUACUGUGUGGAAAGUCUGGUCUACCACAAGAAUUAUACCCAAUGGGAAACAUGUUUUGAAAAACUGAAUUUGAAGAAAAAACUUGUUACUGAUUGUGUCCUCAGUGGGCGAGGGAACGAGCUCGAACUACAGUAUGCGGCUGAGACGAAUGCCCUUCAACCUCCACAUAAAUAUGUGCCGUGGGUUGUUGUUGAUGGUCAACCACUUUACGAUGACUACAUGGACUUCAUUAGCUUCAUCUGCAAAGCGUACAAAGGAACUACCCCGGUCCCUAGUUGCAGCUCAUCCAUUAACGUCAUUAAAAUUGGAAGGAAGUUUAAUCCUUUCUGUUUAAAGCAGACAGCCAUGUCCAAGUUAUCAACUGUAAGUUCGGCUAUCACAUCAUGGUUGAACCGCGCUAAGCUCACUGCAUCUGCAUAAUACUACAGUCCACAGAACUCGUUGGUGCAGCAGAUUCACGUUUUUCGUUUUAUGAAAUGAUGAGAUACUGUAGUUGGUUUAUGCAAUUGUAAUAUACUUGUCAUGAUGGAUGAUAAUGAAGAAGGUGCUUAGUUCUCUCUAAUCAGCUGUUGAUGGGAAAUGUGGUAAUAUGAGAACUCGGAAACAGAAAAAAAGUUAGUAAUAAGGUCUGCGUACGUACAUUCUAUCCUCUUCAGAUUUUAUUCGUAAUAUUUCACUCUAUAUGUAGUCGUUGGUUGAUUUUUGAUUUGGAUAUAGAAAGUGUGGGUUUUCAUAAGUUGUCUACAUCUAAUAAGUA